GGUAGGUGGCAAGCGUUGUCCGGAAUUAUUGGGCGUAAAGCGCGCGCAGGCGGUUCUUUAAGUCUGAUGUGAAAGCCCACGGCUCAACCGUGGAGGGUCAUUGGAAACUGGAGAACUUGAGUACAGAAGAGGAAAGCGGAAUUCCACGUGUAGCGGUGAAAUGCGUAGAGAUGUGGAGGAACACCAGUGGCGAAGGCGGCUUUCUGGUCUGUAACUGACGCUGAGGCGCGAAAGCGUGGGGAGCAAACAGGGAUUAGAUACCCUGGUAGUCCACGCCGUAAACGAUGAGUGCUAAGUGUUAGGGGGGUUUCCGCCCCCUUAGUGCUGCAGCUAACGCAUUAAGCACUCCGCCUGGGGAGUACGGCCGCAAGGCUG
rnacentral:rRNA from 1 species